rnacentral:rRNA from 1 species
AUUGAACGCUGGCGGCAUGCUUUACACAUGCAAGUCGAACGGCAGCGGGGGCUUCGGCCUGCCGGCGAGUGGCGAACGGGUGAGUAAUGCAUCGGAACGUGCCCAAGUCGUGGGGGAUAACGUAUCGAAAGGUACGCUAAUACCGCAUACGUCCUGAGGGAGAAAGCGGGGGAUCUUCGGACCUCGCGCGAUUGGAGCGGCCGAUGUCGGAUUAGCUAGUAGGUGAGGUAAAGGCUCGCCUAGGCGACGAUCCGUAGCGGGUCUGAGAGGAUGAUCCGCCACACUGGGACUGAGACACGGCCCAGACUCCUACGGGAGGCAGCAGUGGGGAAUUUUGGACAAUGGGCGCAAGCCUGAUCCAGCCAUGCCGCGUGAGUGAAGAAGGCCUUCGGGUUGUAAAGCUCUUUCGGCCGGGAAGAAAUCGUGUUCUCUAACAUAGGACAUGGAUGACGGUACCGGACUAAGAAGCACCGGCUAACUACGUGCCAGCCGCCGCGGUAAAAC